UCUCUUUGGCUGCGAUCCGCCUACGAGUAUGUAGUUGUAUGGUGGGGAUGAUAUCUUGGGCCUUAUUUGUGAGUGGCCGAGAUGCGGGAGACACAAGGUGGCUAUGGUGCUGGCCGAAAGCCAUCAACUCUGCAAGAGCGCCGUGAAGGUUAGCGCGACGACCACCAUGUAAAGCCGAUACGGUGUUGGGCGGCGUGACGCAAGUUCGCCACCGCUGGGUCGGAUGGUACUGUAGUGGUUGAGAUCGUCUCUGGUCAACUUACAGGGAAUCUUCGCUUUUAAUUUUUGAAAAUUGAAUAUUUUAUAUUAAAUAAAAGAUGUUUGGUGUGUAAUAA
rnacentral:lncRNA from 1 species